UGGGGAAUUUUGGACAAUGGGCGAAAGCCUGAUCCAGCAAUGCCGCGUGAGUGAAGAAGGCCUUCGGGUUGUAAAGCUCUUUUGUCAGGGAAGAAACGGUGAGAGCUAAUAUCUCUUGCUAAUGACGGUACCUGAAGAAUAAGCACCGGCUAACUACGUGCCAGCAGCCGCGGUAAUACGUAGGGUGCAAGCGUUAAUCGGAAUUACUGGGCGUAAAGCGUGCGCAGGCGGUUUUGUAAGUCUGUCGUGAAAUCCCCGGGCUCAACCUGGGAAUUGCGAUGGAGACUGCAAGGCUAGAAUCUGGCAGAGGGGGGUAGAAUUCCACGUGUAGCAGUGAAAUGCGUAGAGAUGUGGAGGAACACCGAUGGCGAAGGCAGCCCCCUGGGUCAAGAUUGACGCUCAUGCACGAAAGCGUGGGGAGCAAACAGGAUUAGAUACCCCCGUAGUCCCUGAGCGGGCUGGCAAGGCGCAU
rnacentral:rRNA from 1 species